rnacentral:rRNA from 1 species
GACGAACGCUGGCGGCGUGCUUAACACAUGCAAGUCGAACGGAAAGGCCCUGCUUUUGUGGGGUGCUCGAGUGGCGAACGGGUGAGUAACCCGUGAGUAACCUGCCCUUGACUUUGGGAUAACUUCAGGAAACUGGGGCUAAUACCGGAUAGGAGCUCCUGCUGCAUGGUGGGGGUUGGAAAGUUUCGGCGGUUGGGGAUGGACUCGCGGCUUAUCAGCUUGUUGGUGGGGUAGUGGCUUACCAAGGCUUUGACGGGUAGCCGGCCUGAGAGGGUGACCGGCCACAUUGGGACGGAGAUACGGCCCAGACUCCUACGGGAGGCAGCAGUGGGGAAUAUUGCACAAUGGGCGGAAGCCUGAUGCAGCAACGCCGCGUGCGGGAUGACGGCCUUCGGGUUGUAAACCGCUUUCGCCUGUGACGAAGCGUGAGUGACGGUAAUGGGUAAAGAAGCACCGGCUAACUACGUG